rnacentral:rRNA from 1 species
AUUGAACGCUGGCGGCAGGCCUAACACAUGCAAGUCGAACGGUAACAGGAAACCGCUUGCUGUUUCGCUGACGAGUGGCGGCCGGGUGAGUAAUGUCUGGGAAACUGCCUGAUGGAGGGGGAUAACUACUGGAAACGGUAGCUAAUACCGCAUAACGUCGCAAGACCAAAGAGGGGGACCUUCGGGCCUCUUGCCAUCGGAUGUGCCCAGAUGGGAUUAGCUAGUAGGUGGGGUAACGGCUCACCUAGGCGACGAUCCCUAGCUGGUCUGAGAGGAUGACCAGCCACACUGGAACUGAGACACGGUCCAGACUCCUACGGGAGGCAGCAGUGGGGAAUAUUGCACAAUGGGCGCAAGCCUGAUGCAGCCAUGCCGCGUGUAUGAAGAAGGCCUUCGGGUUGUAAAGUACUUUCAGCGGGGAGGAAGGGAGUAAAGUUAAUACCUUUGCUCAUUGACGUUACCCGCAGAAGAAGCACCGGCUAACUCCGUG